rnacentral:rRNA from 1 species
AUGCUUUAACAUGCAGUCGAACGGCAGCACGGACUUCGGUCUGGUGGCGAGUGGCGAACGGGUGAGUAACAUAUCGGAACGUAUCCAAUAAUGGGGGAUAACGAGUCGAAAGAUUCGCUAAUACCGCAUACGCCCUACGGGGGAAAGCUGGGGACCUUCGGGCCUGGCGUUAAUGGAGCGGCCGAUAUCUGAUUAGCUAGUUGGUGAGGUAAAGGCUCACCAAGGCGACGAUCAGUAGCUGGUCUGAGAGGACGACCAGCCACACUGGAACUGAGACACGGUCCAGACUCCUACGGGAGGCAGCAGUGGGGAAUUUUGGACAAUGGGCGCAAGCCUGAUCCAGCCAUUCCGCGUGAGUGAAGAAGGCCUUCGGGUUGUAAAGCUCUUUCGCAAGGGAAGAAAACUUAGCCACUAACAUUGGCUGAGGUUGACGGUACCUUGAUAAGAAGCACCGGCUAACUACGUGCCAGCAGCCGCGGUAAUACGUAGGGUGCGAGCGUUAAUCGGAAUUACUGGGCGUAAAGCGUGCGCAGGCGGCUUUGUAAGUCAGAUGUGAAAUCCCCGAGCUCAACUUGGGAACUGCGUUUGAAACUACAAGGCUAGAAUAUGUCAGAGGGGGGUAGAAUUCCACGUGUAGCAGUGAAAUGCGUAGAGAUGUGGAGGAAUACCAAUGGCGAAGGCAGCCCCCUGGGAUAAUAUUGACGCUCAUGCACGAAAGCGUGGGGAGCAAACAGGAUUAGAUACCCUGGUAGUCCACGCCCUAAACGAUGUCUACUAGUUGUUGGUGGAGUAAAAUCCAUGAGUAACGCAGCUAACGCGUGAAGUAGACCGCCUGGGGAGUACGGUCGCAAGAUUAAAACUCAAAUGAAUUGACGGGGGCCCGCACAAGCGGUGGAUUAUGUGGAUUAAUUCGAUGCAACGCGAAAACCUUACCUGGCCU